UAGGGAAUCUUCGGCAAUGGGGGGCGAACCCUGACCGAGCAACGCCGCGUGAGUGAAGAAGGUCUUCGGAUCGUAAAACUCUGUUGUUAGAGAAGAACACGAGUGAGAGUAACUGUUCAUUCGAUGACGGUAUCUAACCAGCAAGUCACGGCUAACUACGUGCCAG
rnacentral:rRNA from 1 species